AGGAUGAACGCUAGCGGUUUGCCUAACACAUGCAAGUUGCACGGCGCCAUACCUCUCGGGGUAUGGUGCAGUGGCGGACGGGUGAGUAACGCGUAAGGACCUGCCCCUGGGAGGGGGAUAACAGCUGGAAACGGCUGCUAAUACCCCAUAGCCUGAGGAGGGAAAGGAGAGAUCCGCCCAGGGAGGGGCUUGCGUCUGAUUAGCUAGUUGGGAGGGGUAAUGGCCUCCCAAGGCAACGAUCAGUUGCUGGUCUGAGAGGAUGAUCAGCCACACUGGGACUGAGACACGGCCCAGACUCCUACGGGAGGCAGCAGUGAGGAAUCUUCCGCAAUGGGCGAAAGCCUGACGGGGCAAUGCCGCGUGGAGGAUGAAGGCCCAAGUGGGUCGUAAACUUCUUUAGAUCAGAGACGAAGAGAUGACGGUACCUAGAAGAACUAAGCAUCGGCUAAACCCCGUGCCAGCAGCCGC
rnacentral:rRNA from 1 species